UCAUGAUCUCACAGUUCAUGGGUUCGAGCCCCACGUCGGGCUCUGUGCUAACAGCUCAGAGCCUGGAGCCUGUUUCAGAUCCUGUGUCUCCCUCUCUCUCUGACCCUCUCCCACUCGAAUUCUGUCUCUCUCUCUCUCUCUCUCUCAAAAAUAUAUAAAAUAUUUUUAAAACUUUUUUAAAUAAUAAAAUAGAGUUGAGCAUAAAAAUACUAAUGUGAAAACCCGGGACAUGUCACAGACAUAGGGCACAAUGUCAUUCAUUGGGCAGUUCAGGGAUGACUGAGUUUGGAGAAACAGGAAAAUGUGUGUGAAGCGUCCUUGUACCUAACAUGUAUUCAGGGAAUGGAAGGUUCUAGUCUGUGCUUAUUCACCCCUGCCCCACUACUGCCCCCGAAGGUCCCACCAACUCCAGCUGCGGCCACAGCCCACCUGCCCCCGCAGGGCUUACCGAUGCGGAGCCAGGUCGGGAGCUGGGGCAUCAUGGCGGCGCCCCCAAGCCUCCUCCAAGGAUCUUCCUUGAGUUUUGCUGUUGGUGGUGAGCCAAAACGUUCUCUUGACUCCAGGACAGGCAGGAACAGCUUUGCUCCCAGUUUUUCAAACCUCUGUUCUACCUACCCACACGUUGUGUCUUCUGGUCUCUGUUAGGAAAGGACUAUUGCAACACACUCUCAAGCCACUUCCCACAGGCUUCAUGCCCAGCACAGCAAUCAUCCACUGCUAAGGCACGUCCAUGAAUAUGCAAAGCAUGGGAGAAAUUGCUAGCCUUUGUCCCCUUUUGCCAAGUGGCUGAAAAGAGCUGGGCCCCCAGCAGUCCAGAAUAAGAGACCCAUUUCUCUCCAUUGGGGAACCGUAGGUCCUUCUGUUCAUAGGAUGUAAGCAGAAGAGAUGUGCACAACUUCUGGGUGAUGGAAGAAGUCACAAGGCAUCAGGGACAGAUGAGGAUCUGGGAGAACAAGACAACAGGCCCUACAGAGAGAAGAAGUGGAAGUGACCGAGGAGACCAAAGAAGACUUGACUCCACAGACUGGAAGGGACGGCUGUCGUCACUGUUGCUGUCCUGGUCCUGUGGCACAACCACGGGGAACAAACCCCACAGCCUGACGGCAAGGGCCCUCUGAAGUCCCAGACCAGACACACACACAGGCCAUAGGGGGCUGUUGGUGAUGAUGGGGGUUGCCCGGCGGACCGACCGGUGCAGAGGCACCGUCGCUGGUAGAGAAUGCAGUUAGUACUCUCACGACUGCUCACUCAGUAACAUUCUAUGAAUAACAUUAGCCAUCAAUAAUCUAUUUUCACCUGGCUCCCCUUGAUGCCUUUCUCGUCCUCACACGCACACUUUCCGUCUCCAAGCCCUUCUCGCCACUCAGCACUCAUAUGUGCCUUUCCUGCUUUAUGCCUGAUUUCGGUGGGGCACACAUCCCUCUCUGUUGUUAUUAUAUUUACCACCUUCCCCUCCCCCUCUCCCCACUUUAGGGAGAAGGACUCUUCAGGCCUGUUGGAUAAGUAAAUGCAUAAGUUGGGGCACCUGGCUGGCUCAGUCGGUGGAGUGAGUUUGGGUGGCUCGUUGGGUGUAGAGGUUACUUAAAAAAUAAAAUCUUUUUUUUAAUGUUUAUUUAUUUUUGAGAGAGACAGAGCAUGAGUGGGAGAGGGGCAGAGAGGGAGAGGGAGACACAGAAUCCAAAGCAGCUCCAGGCUCCGAGCCGUCAGCACAGAGCCUGACACGGGGCUUGAACUCACUGAUCGUGAGAUCAUGACCCGAGCCGAAGUCGGACACUUAACUGACUGAGCCACCCAAGCACCCCCAAAAAUAAAAUCUUUAAAGAAGAAUUAUUUUUAAAAAUUUUAACUUCAUUCAUUUAUUUUGAGAGAGACAGAGAGGGCGAGCAGGGGAGGGGUAGAGAGAGAGAGGGAGAGAGAGAAUCCCAAGCAGGCUCUGCAUUGCCAGCACAGAGCCUGAUGCAGGGACUGAACCCACGAACUCUAAGAUGAUAACCUGAGCUGAAACGAAGAGUCAGACACCCAACCAACUGAGCCACCCAGGCGCCCCAGAAGAAUUAAAUUAAAAAAAAUUUUUUUGGUGUUUAUUUAUUUUUGAAGGAGAGAGAGACAGAGCACGAGUGGGGAAGGGGCAGAGAGAGAGGGAGACACAGAAUCCGAAGCAGGCUCCAGGCUCUGAGCUGUCAGCACAGAGCCCGACGUGGGGCUCGAACCCGUAAACCAUGAGAUCAUGACCUGAGCCGAAGUCGGAGGCUUAACCAAGACUGAGCCACCCAGGCGCCCCAAGAAUUAAAUUUUUUUAAUGUUUAUUUCUUUUUGAGAGAGAGAGAGAGAGAGAGAGAGAGAGAGCACGAAGUGGGUAGGGGCAGAGAGAGAGAGGGACUCCAGGCUCUGAACUGUCAGCGCAGAGCCCUAUGCGGGGCACCAGCCCACAAACCGUGAGAUCAUGACCUGAGCCAAAGUCGGACACUUAACCAACUGAGCCCCCCAGGUGCCCCAAAAUCUUUUUAAUUUUUUAAAUGUUUUUUUAUUCAUUUUUUAGAGGCAGAAACAGAGUGUGAGCUGGGCAGGGGCAGAGAGAGAGGGAGACACAGAAUCCGAAGCAGGCUCCAGGCUCUGAGCUGUCAACACAGAGCCUGAUGCAGGGCUCGAACCAGCGAACCCUGAUAUCAUGACUUGAGCCGAAGUCGGAGGCUUAACUGACUGAGCCACCCAGGCGCCCCCCAAAAUCUUUAAAAAAGAAUUAAAUGCAUCGGUUGGUUGAUAGAUACUGAAUAAGUAUAGUAAAUAGGUGAUUGGAUUAAUAAGCUGAUUAACUGAUUAAUAAAGGGAGGAAUGGGUGUAAGAAUGAAUAAAUGAUGGGUAAGGGCAAAAGAAAGGAUAGAAAAUCCAAUGAGAGCAAGUGCAAAGGGGACGGAGGGAUGGAAGGAAAGAAGGGUGAGAAUCAAUGAGCAGGUGGAUGGAUGACGAGAAAUGAGUGAGAGGGUGGUUGAAAAGCAAAGGAACCAGAAAUGAGUGGAAGCACAAAGUCAGGGGGAGCCUCCCUGAUGCGCCACUGACUUCCCGUAUGACUAGGGGGGAGCUUCAGGCCACCCCUCUAUUCCACCAUUUUCCAUUCCAUUUUACAGGAGAAACUUGAAUGUAGUCAGGCCUUCCAGAGAGGUAAGAGGAGAGAGCAAGCAGGCUGCGUGAGGAACGGUUUAUGUUAUUUUGACAACCUCGAAGGCAGCCAAGAGCCAGCGGGGCAACAGGCCAGGUGCAAUGUGUUAAUGUCCACGUCAAAGGUCUGUGCACACCGCCCUUGCUGUUGCCUUGGCAGUGGAUGCCUCUUAAUCCUAAUGACGGCUCAAGAAACCAGUCUGCAGUGCAUGCAAAUGAAGCUGUAAUUAGAGAAGUUCCACUUGAUCUGACCUUGGCCCACCUUUGGGGAAGGUCUGAGCAGGGGUUUGAAAAAGGUUUGCUUGGCGACCGGGAAUGAUGUCACGAAGGAAGAGGCAGCGAAUUGCUUACAAGGUGAGCUGGAGCUGGCACCAUGGAAAAAAAGACUGUGACUUCAUUCCAGCCCUGAGCCUUGAGUAGAAACCACACUCAUCCAAUAGCUAACAUUUAUUGAGCGUUUGCUAUGGGCCAGUCGCUUUUAAGGGCUUUGUGCGUGUUGCCCACUUAAUCCUACAAUAAUCCUAGGAAGUGAGUAUUAUCAGUGAGCCCAUUUUACAGUCCAGGCAACUAAGACUUGGCAAAGGUCAUCUUCCUAGUAUCCCAGUGAGGAGGCAGCAGCACUGGGAAUCGAACCCAGGCCUUGUGACUGGGAAGCCUUAACCACGGGUAGAGCCUUCCACGGAUCUAGGAGGUACUGGCCCAGAAGGGAGGGAGAACACACAGUAUGAAGCAGAUUAUUAUUCAGCAGCUGGGCUCAGCCCAACUGUGGGCUCUUGCAAGGGCCG